rnacentral:misc_RNA from 1 species
GGAAUCCGUUCAAGACAUGGACACAAGUGAGAGAAUUUUAAGAGUGAACAAAAGAUCUAGAAGCACAAAUAGUCCCAUGAAGUACACUCAGCCAGAGGAUGGUGGAUCAAUUUUCAAGGGCGAUGAGGACAAUCAUCAUAGCCAACAAACAAGUCAGGAGGAUUAUACCAAGUUCACCGUUCAGAAGCUUAAGCAAGAACUUACAAAACAUAACUUUGGCGCCGAA